CUCGUAGGCGGUUCGUCGCGUCCGGUGUGAAAGUCCAUCGCUUAACGGUGGAUCCGCGCCGGGUACGGGCGGGCUCGAGUGCGGUAGGGGAGACUGGAAUUCCCGAUGUAACGGUGGAAUGUGUAGAUAUCGGGAAGAGCACCAAUGGCGAAGGCAGGUCUCUGGGCCGUUACUGACGCUGAGGAGCGAAAGCGUGGGGAGCGAAACA
rnacentral:rRNA from 1 species